GGAUGUGAGGGUGAUUAGCUGUGACAUCCGUCACCCCACUGGUCCCUCACCAGGGUUGAUGCAUUCGGCUGAUGUGGCUGGCUAGGCAGGGGUCCUCUGCCUCCCUCACCAGUCUAUGUGAGUCCCUCUUGAAAGUGCUUGCUCAAAGAGGAUGACCUUCCCCAAGUAGAGAGGACAGGGCUUCGGUCAAGAGUAUACCCGUAGCUGCAUUUCCCCUGCUAGGACCUCCAAACAAGCCCUCAAGAAUAAAAUUUGGGGCUGGAGACAUGGCUUAGCAGUUACAGU
rnacentral:snRNA from 1 species